GAUUCAGCUUGUCACGGCAGAUUUGGUAUCACCGCAAGAACAGCUCCAGUUUUUGGACCGGGAGGGCAUGCGUAUGUUUAUCUUUGCUAUGGUCUCCACACAAUGCUUAAUGUAGUUGCAGACAAGGAAGGGGUUGGGGCUGCAGUAUUGAUACGAUCUUGUGCUCCCAUGAGUGGGUUGGAUACCAUUCAGCAUCGUCGAGGUCAGAAAACUGAUAAGCCAGUUCUUCUUACUGGGCAC
rnacentral:misc_RNA from 1 species